AUACGGAGGGUGCAAGCGUUACUCGGAAUCACUGGGCGUAAAGCGCGCGCAGGCGGCCAUUUAAGUUGGAUGUGAAAGCCUACGGCUCAACCGUAGAACUGCAUCCAAAACUAUUUGGCUAGAGUGUGGGAGAGGAAGGUGGAAUUAGUUGUGUAGGGGUAAAAUCCGUAGAGAUAACUAGGAAUACCAAAAGCGAAGGCAAUCUUCUGGAACAUUACUGACGCUGAGGCGCGAAAGCGUGGGGAGCAAACAGGAUUAGAAACCCCGGUAGUCC
rnacentral:rRNA from 1 species